rnacentral:misc_RNA from 1 species
UUUAUUCUCAACCCAUGUCUUGAUUGAGUUCAAGGAAUGGCUUGGAGUUGGAAGUUGCUGGCGAUCGAUAGAAUAAGUCAGCUCUUCUGAAAUUGAUUAGCGAUCAGGACAAGCAGCAUUGUUCUGACGUGCACGGCCUUGCGACGUGAUAAUGAAUGUAUCGGUCGUGGCUGGAGCGUUGGUCAUUGCAUUUAACAUUUUGUCUUUGAUUCGCUUCCAAUCCUAAUCCUAAUCAUUAUCAUUCAUUUGAUUGAUUGAUUGAUUGAUUUCGAAC